CCCCGCGCACCUGCACCACCGAGCUCGGUCACGCCGUGACGCCGUCGAUCGCCACCACGAUGUCGCCCGCAACUGCGUCGCCCGAGCGUCUCGUCCUCGGCACCACCUCGGCACUCGCACCGCGCCCUCGCCGAGCAGCAGCAGAGCCGCGGCCAUGGCCUCGCCCUGCCGACGCCGCCAAGCACCACUGCGCCCGCCUCGGCCGUGCCCCUACCUCUGUGUCAAGCUUCAUCACCACGCGGGGGUCAGCCGCGGUGCCGUCCUCGCUGCGCAGCGGCCUCGCCCGGCGACGUCGAGCCCGCUGCCCUCGCCGCGUCGAGCUUCGACCACGGCCGGCCGCGUGGACGCCACAGCCCGGCCGAGCCUCUGCCUCGCCACCGUGGGAGUCGCCGCGGCCACGACGCCUUCAGCCCCGGCGCCCCUCCGCGUCUACGACGGUGUCGACCGCGAGCCCCCGUGCUGUCAUGGAGCUUACCUCGUCGAGCCGACACGCCGUCGACAGAGCCACCGAUGCCGCGCGCCGGGCACCAGAGCAAGCCCCUUCGCCGAGCACCCGAUGCGCCCCGUUGCCGCGGCCACGCCAGGACAUCGCCAUGGUCACCGCGUCAGCGCCGGCCGUGGUGAUCGCGACCCCGACCACGACGCCGUGCUCAUCUUGCCACGGUGACCGCGAACUUCCCUUUUGCUGGCUGCCGAUCACCACUGAACGUGCAGCAGCGGCAGCACCACCCCGCGCGAAGCUCUUCUCUGCCGCCGGUGAGCCACCAGUGCCCAAGUGCCCUCCUUGCUAGCUUUCUGUUUUGCCUUGCUGAAACCGGCCUUUGUGCCGUGUUCUUCACUGUACAGGGAUGCUGCACCCAUGUCGUGCCACUUGCCGGAGCCGUUGGACUUAACAUCGCUGCUGUUGGAGCACCGAACCUCGAGGCGUUGCCGAACCCCAAGACUUCUCUUUCAGAUGCACCCCGGCCACUUGCAGCAAGCCGCGACCAAGCUGUAGAAGCCCUCUGCCAUCCUCGCCCGCAAGGUCGAACCUUGAACCUAGCCGACAUCGUCUCCGACGUUGGCAAAACCCUUGCCGUUCAUUUCGAUAUCAUACAUGCCAUGUAUCUUGCUCAUGUAUGCAUUAUGAUCUAUCUGCAUGACCAUUUGUUCAUCUAUCCAUGUCAUGCACUUGUUACAUGAUUAUUCAUCUCAUAUCUCGUUUAAUGCGCGAUCUAUCUUCGUCUAUAUCUCUGCCUGUGCCGUGCCUUCGUGCCGGUCUAUUUAUCUAUCUCUAUCUCUUUUGGUCGCUAUGGAAAUGUGCUACUCCGAGUCGUCGUCUUGUUAGUGUUGCAAUUUGUGCUUUUGUUCUUGUCGUUGUGGACCGUGCCGUCGAGCCGGUUGAGAGAGUGACGUGUUUGGAUGUUGCGAUCGCGAGUUCGUCUCGCCAUGGCCGUAAUGCCGAGCAUGUCCCUUCUCUCGUAUUUCUGUUGUUCCUUCUUUUGUUAUUUGCAUGCCUGAGGACCGAGCCUUCGAGCCGGUUAGGGAAAAUGGUGGAGCGAUCGAUCAUUUCGAUCGUGGGUUCGUCCCGCCGUGAUCGCGAUGCCGAGCGUAACUCAUUCCCUGUGAUUAGUUGUCUUCGCUGCGCUACGGUCGUUAGCUCCUAUUCCCGUCCCUCGAACGUGGUCAUCGUGGACUCGAUGUCGUUAACGACGCGGUUCUUACCCGCACACUCGAGACCUAAAUGACCUAGUCUAGUGGGAUACGAAUUAGGGGACAACCUUCGUAGAACUAUCGGAGAAACUCGUUAGGUGAAGCUCAUGGCCGCGAGUCCACCUUGCCAUGGCCAUUGGGCUUUACCCCAUUUCUCCCGUGUUUAUCCUAACCACCUCGUAUGCUUGUACCACUUCGACUAUAGCAUUCCCUCGGACCUAGCGGUGACAACCACAUCGCUAUGGGCCUUAGGAAUAGCCUUGUGCUGAUUUAGAUGCACAGUCAUGGUGCCCUACAAGUGGGUUGGGAUCGUGGGGUCGUAUUCCUUUUAUCCAACCGUCGUUGUUCCAUGAUGAGUUGGUCGAAAGAGUAUGGACUCCAUUCUUCUUCUCUCUUGUUCUCAAUCCCGUCGAUCCAGUAAGAUGGGGAUUAAGCCCCUUUUGCUUGUUUGAUGUUUUGUUUCCAAUCCCGCGAUUCCCGCCGUUGCUAUGGCGAGCGGAUCAAAGGAAGGUGAAUCCCGUGUCUUUUUCCGCCUUUUUGGUUCUUCGUGCUUAAACUCUUGUAUGCUUGUACCUAUAUCGAUCGUAGCAUUUCUUUGGUUCUUGUGGUGACAACCGCACCGCAAAGAACCUUAGUGAUGUCAUAGUGCAUUUAGUGCACCUAGGUUGUGGUACCCUACAAGUGGUUUGAGUACUCGUGUUCCUUAUGUGUCACUCUUUCUAAUCCCCCGUCUCUUACCAUGGCGAGUGGAUGGGAAGAAGUAGACCACUCCCCUUUUCUUCUUUCCUUGUUCCACCCUCUCUUGGCUCUCGCCAACUACAAUGGCGUAUGGAUUGAGAGAGACCGGAACUUCGCGUGCUCAUAGUCUUUUCGAUUCUUGUCGAUCUCCGUGAUGCUUGGAUCGAAGAGCCACUACCUAUGGUGUUUGCUUAUGAUAAGUUAGGGUCUAAGCCAAUUAUUAAAGUCGUACAGGUUGACUUAGUCGACCCAGGAAGUACCGGCUAGGCUAAGACUCCAGCUUGUACUUAGUGAACAACCAUUCCCAUUUCUUUUAGCCCAAAGAUCGGACAUCCGCCGAGAGGGCUAAGCCGUUUUCCUUUCGUUGCUCUUUUAGUGUAGUUGUUCCUCAGUGUUAUGUCGUCUCUUUUCGUAGUCUUUCGAGGUCUAGUGGUUUGAUUGUUUCGCCUUGUUUGUCGCUUUCGAGGUAGUCGCUUCGAGGUUAGCGUUGAUCGGACCAGGACCAGUUGAAGGAAGAACAUGUAGAAAGGAGGAUCUUGGAUGAGUACAACUACAAGUGAACUGAGGAUCUUGGAAAUGUCACUCGACAGGUGCCACGUCCCACCCAACCUCGUAGAAUCCUAUUAGACAUGCAAUAUUAUAGAUGCUAGUGCUUUACUUUUAUGCAAAUGAACUAUGAUAGGUUGCAUGGUAGAAAUGCUUGUGAGCCAUUGCCUUGUUGCAACCUAUAACCCUCGCACACCCGCUGUUAGGUUAGAUGCUUGCAUACUACUUGCCACUGCUUCUACUACGCAUUAUAUCUGUGAUGUGAUGCAUUGUGGAGGAUUGGAUGUGAGUGGAUAAGGCACGUGUGCCGAUAACUGGUUAAGAAAUGGAUAAUGGAUAUGGGGAGAUCUUGGCGUGUGUCUUGGGUGUGUGGUGAGGGUCGAGUCGACCGAGCAGGAUUUACGACGAGUCUUGGGACAAGUCUUGCCGGGGAAUGCUACCUGGGCGUUCUCCAUGAGAGAUACCUGUGGCGGGUACAUGUGACAGGGAGAGGUCCCGGAGUGGAGUGUCUUCGUGGGACGAAGCACCGGGAUGGGAGGUGCUGUAUAGCACGGGGUAGCCGGGUGUCCCGUCGAGAGGGGCAUCGGCUGGCCCCUCGUGAAGAUGUCCUGUUCGGUUACCCUAAGGACUGAGAUGUUCUGAGAACCGGUUCGUAGGAAGCCUUACACGCCACUCGCCUUAUUAUGGUGCGGGACGGAUGUACGACCAGCUAGUGCGGUGCCACUACUACUAGGUUGAUAGCGGAUAGUGUAGGGAGGUACGGGCAUGAGGACCCACACCCUCCUAAGACAGCGUAGUGACCUUUGGGGGCCCGGUACUACGCCUCACAGUCUCAGCAUGCCGGUGGUACUCCGGUAUGGCCCCAGUCCUGAGUGGUAGGGUGGCAUCGUAUUUAGUUGGAAGGCAGCCCGGUAUCAGCCUAGACGAGCCGGUUCGUCGAUGAUGGUGAUCUUGUGGUUAGUGUAAACCUCUGCAGAGUUUGGUUGAUCGAUCGAUACAUAUGCCGUCUUCUCGGCUAUGGACCUUUCCUAUGUUCCGCUUCGCUUGACUAGUGAGAGGAGUCCCUUCUAUCUUCCCCUGGGUUUGUGUUGGAUCCGGCGUUGGCCGUUGAGGCAAGGCACGAGCGGGAGUCGUACUUGCCGCCUAGAGAGUGAGAGUGUGGUGAGAUGUGUGUGAUGGGAUGGAUGGAUGGAUGUGUGGAUGAGAUGGAUUAAAACUUGAUGAAUUAUUAUUAUUAAAAUAUUGAUGAACUUGCAUAGAAAAAACUACAGCCAUAUAUAGGCCUCUUGAUCUACCCUUUUGCAUUCCACUUACCACAAAGCUUACGCAAAAGCAUAGGGUGGGAGCCAGUGGCCAGUACAAAUCGUACUGAAAAUUGUUUAGCAGGUUUUGAACGUGAUCUAUGACGAUAACUACGGAGAAUAGAAGGAUUAGGUGGUCUCGUUCCUGCGCUCAAGUUUGGUUCAGAGAUGAAGGCUGCGCCCGCUGAUAAACUACGCCGACUCUGAUGAUUGUCCGUGAAGGAGGAGCCUUCACCGCUGUCGCGCUACAUCGACUCUGAUAAAGACUCGCGUGUGUUUCCGCUAGAAAAACAAUGUAAUAAGCUUGUUAAUCAAGAGUUGUAAAGCAAAUGUGUUGUAAUCUUGUUUCUCACGAUGUAUGACUACGAUAACAGCUGAUAUAUGAUAAUGCGAUGGUUCAAUUUUUGAAUUAUCACAUUAUAAUUCGAAUCUGUGGAUUUUUCCCUUUGUGGAAAAAUCUGGGUCGUUUCAGUUGGUAUCAGAGCCAUACUUGACCCUAGGACGAGACCAUUAGGACCAAACACUAGUUUAGAAGCCAAACAUUCUAUCUUUUGUAGAGUUAUAGAUGCUAACACUUGUUUUCCCCCCUCCGCCUUGAAUUCUGUUGCUAACUGACCUCCCUGUUUCAUAAAGUUGACCGUUGGAAUCUUUUCCCAUACCCGCCCACGCUAGAUCGGUAGUCGUGUGAGACUUUGAAGGUCUGUGAGUCGCCUCAAGUCAACACUAUGCAUUAGGAGUUGUAAUGCUGAUUGAGUGCUUGGAUCUUAUGUUCUUGCGUUUCGUCUGCUUCUUGUUGUUUGAGUGUAUGUCAUAGAACUGUUUUAUGCGAGAAAAACUCUGGAUCCCGUCCAAUCUAGCUGGCUAAACCUAAGACUGUCCCGAAACUAGAUAAGUGACCCUGGCUAACAGAGCCGAAAAAGGGUUUAAAGCUGAUGCAUCAUGUCUUGCCCAUCUAUUUCAAAACUGUUUUUGGCUUCCAACUAAACUUGUCUUCAAAAUUGCCCUUUUGUUGAAAAAGUUUCUCUCCUUUUUGGUUGAAAAAGUUUAUCUCUUUUACAAAACAUCUUGGUUUCAAAAGGAAAAGUGUUUCAAAACUCUCUCAAUAUUCUUCCCUUUUCACAAAUAAAGCAAUUUUAACCCCCCUUUCUCAACUCAAACUCUAUUUAUGAAACGGUUUAAAAACAAGUUAUCUUCAAAAGGUGUUACCAAUCCUCUUUCUGAAAAUCAAAAGUUCUACCUUCAACCAACAAAGUGGUUUUCAAACCAAAGAUCUUUGGCUCAGUUUUGUUUUAAAUGUCUUUGAUUUUAUCUCAAGAGCCAAAUUCCUUUUAAAAUUCAACCUUGCCUUAAAAGAAAAAGGAAUUCCCAGUGAUUUAUUAAACAAAAACCAUUGUGAAAAGUUUUUGUUUAGCAACCUUUCAAAAAAAAGAACGAAAUGGACUUUCAAGUUUCAAAAAUGUUUUGGUUGUGAAGGCUCUAACUUUCAAAAUGCGAAAUGAUUUCUUGUUAUUUUCAAAACUAAUUUGUUUGACUCUAAUAAAAAGGGAGCAAUACCUUGUUUUAAAGAAAAUAGUAAUAAUAAAAUGAAAGAAUUUUAAAAUCUUUUGAUUUGAAAUCUUUUAUAAUAAAACCUUCAAAAUAUUUGGUUCUCAAAACUUGUAUUGAAUUCAACCCUCUGCAAAAGCUCUCUUCAUUUUGAAGUCUCAAAAAAAAAAUUGACUUUGUAAAAUCGCUUUCACUCCAUUUAUGAAACCUGUUUUUUCCGAAAAACAUUCCUUUCAAAAGCUUUUUGCAAAGAGUGAUGCAUGAAAAACUGCUGGUGAAAGCCAACAACCCUAGCUAUGUUUAAGCCUGCCAUGCACUCCUAGAGAGCCAGAUGUUCAUCAACCUGGUGCGAUUCUUGGAUACCCAUCGCCUUAUUGUGAGAAUUUGGAUACCCAACACCAGCGAGUGAGCCUUGGAUACAUCCUGAACAUGACUCGCCCCCACAUGGAAAAGGUUUGUGGAGCCAUCUUUCUGAUAGCAAAACAACUCAGAAGUAAGAAAAGCUUUGGGAACGACACCCGCGUUUCUUCACCGACCGAGCAACGCCUAAAUCUCGGGGACGAGAUUCCUGUAAGGAGGGUGGACUGUAACAUCCCAGAUUUUCACGAAAACCAAAAAUACGAGUUUUUUUAAAAUUUUUCCUGUAAUCGUGUGAAUCAUAUAGUAUUUAGGUCAAACUCGAUCCUAACCCGCUAACAAAUCGUGGCAUACAUAUAGAUUUGUUUGUAGACGGGUCGUCUUAAGUUGGAUCUUGUUAGGGUUUUGAGUUUCUUUUGGAGUGCACAAAUCCGUAGCAAAGCCUUCCCGAAUUUUCGUUGAGCCUAUCUCAAAGGCGAAGCGGAUCCCUUCUCAACCUUUUCGUUGGAGUACGUCUCAAACUCCUUUUGAUCCUUUUGAACUCUCCCUGAAAUUCCCUUCUCUCUCUCUUUGAUCUUAUCUAAAUCUCCUCCGCAAAAUCUAUCUUAAAUUCAUGGUAACUCAUCUCAAUCUCUUGUUGAGUUCUCUCUCGAAUGCCCCUCAUUUUUUUUUCCCUUUUAAAAUUUCUCUCAAAGCCCUUGAGUCAAAUUCGUAAAUGGAAGAUCCAUCUCCUUUCAUGGGCCAAUUCUUUCCUCCUCUUCCUCCCUCCCUCGGCCCAGCCUGGGCACCCUUCCCCCCUGUCCGGCCCAACUCGCGCGCGCCAAGGCCCAGUCUGCCCCUUACCCCCCAGCCAGGUCGGCCCACCUCGUUCCCCCUGUCUCCCCUCCGAGGCCCAGCUCUUUCCUUGGCCCAUCCAGUGCCGCGCUGGCCCAUUCGCUUCUCCCUGCUCUGGCCCAAGUCGUGGCCGGCCCAGCAGCCAGCGCCCCAGCCCCAACCCUAGCAGGGAGCUGGACACCUGAGCCCCAGAGCCGCCGCCGCCGUCGCCCAAGGCAGAGCCGCGCCAGCGCUCGCGCCUGCCACGGCUUCCGUGCGACCCCGCAUCCACCGCCGCGUGUCCCGCUGCGGACACGGACGCCGAGGAUGGCCGCAGCGUCCCUGGAGCCCUAGCGCCCGCGCUAUAAAAGCGGCAGCAGCCGCUCGCCCUUCUUCUACCCGCCGCCGCCGCCAUAGCCGACUCGAAGCUCCGCACCCUCACCAAGCGCCUCGACCCCGACCUCGCCCCGCGCACCUGCACCACCGAGCUCGGUCACGCCGUGACGCCGUCGAUCGCCACCACGAUGUCGCCCGCAACUGCGUCGCCCGAGCGUCUCGUCCUCGGCACCACCUCGGCACUCGCACCGCGCCCUCGCCGAGCAGCAGCAGAGCCGCGGCCAUGGCCUCGCCCUGCCGACGCCGCCAAGCACCACUGCGCCCGCCUCGGCCGUGCCCCUACCUCUGUGUCAAGCUUCAUCACCACGCGGGGGUCAGCCGCGGUGCCGUCCUCGCUGCGCAGCGGCCUCGCCCGGCGACGUCGAGCCCGCUGCCCUCGCCGCGUCGAGCUUCGACCACGGCCGGCCGCGUGGACGCCACAGCCCGGCCGAGCCUCUGCCUCGCCACCGUGGGAGUCGCCGCGGCCACGACGCCUUCAGCCCCGGCGCCCCUCCGCGUCUACGACGGUGUCGACCGCGAGCCCCCGUGCUGUCAUGGAGCUUAC
rnacentral:lncRNA from 1 species